GUCUUUUCCCGCCGUGCCCCGCGCGCGGCCUUUCACGCCGGGAUCCGGGUCCCGGUGCUUCUCGGUUCAUUCCCAGCUGGGUCCGGGCCCGGCCAGACUGGGUGGAAAUCUGGCUGACCUUGGUGGUCUGUCUUGGCCAGCUGGAGCAAAGGGAUGCCAGGGGACGGGUCUCGGUGCAGUGACUGCCAUUAGCUUGGGGCCGCAGAAAGUUUCUCCCCUUUCUCGGGCUCCUGCCAGGCCCUUGGCUUUCAGAGCCAGGCCCGAUUUCUAGAUAACAUUUAAGUUUGCAGAAAAGGGGAUGCCAAGUCACGGUGGUCACGGCUGUGGGAUGCAGCCUCUGAGAUUUGUAUUAAUUUUUGUGAGCCGGGGAAAGGCCUUGCUGCUUUCUCCGCCAGGACUGAUGUGUCUUCCCAAGAUGAAAGUGCCUGGAGAAGAGAAGACAGAACAGAAAUUUGUAUCCUGCUACAAUUACAGUGUUAUCAAACUAUAGUCCUAUAUGGAUGAGGACUGAAGGAGGAAUGCUGAGACUG
rnacentral:lncRNA from 1 species